AGCGAACGCUGGCGGCAGGCCUAACACAUGCAAGUCGAACGAAGCCUUCGGGCUUAGUGGCGGACGGGUGAGUAACACGUGGGAACGUACCUUUUGGUUCGGAAUAACGCAGAGAAAUUUGCGCUAAUACCGAAUGAGCCCUUCGGGGGAAAGAUUUAUCGCCGAAAGAUCGGCCCGCGUUGGAUUAGGUAGUUGGUGUGGUAAAGGCGCACCAAGCCUACGAUCCAUAGCUGGUCUGAGAGGAUGAUCAGCCACACCGGGACUGAGACACGGCCCAGACUCCUACGGGAGGCAGCAGUGGGGAAUAUUGGGCAAUGGGGGCAACCCUGACCCAGCGACGCCGCGUGAGUGAAGAAGUCUUUCGGGACGUAAAGCUCUUUUGUACGGGAAGAAGACGAUGACGGUACCGUACGAAUAAGCCCCGGCAAACUACGUGCCAGCCGCCGCAGUAAAAC
rnacentral:rRNA from 1 species